UAUACAAAAAGCAACUGGAGACAUCUUUUACAUUCAACCGACGCUCUCUGACGUUUCGCUGUCCUUACACCGUUUCAAAUACACAAUAGCCAACAUCUUCAUUCUCGCACCAUCGACGGUUUCGCAACCGCCAUCCACAACUUCACCACCGCCAUUUUCACGCUCACAUUCUUCUCCAUUCUUUUUAAUUCAAAUGCUUCCUUCGAUUUUAUUCACCAAAUCCUUCAAUCCCCAAAUCCCUUUCAGUGACUUAAUUUUCCUUCGGCUAAUUCCGUUUAUUCAAGAAAGGCGUGAAGUGGUUUUAUCAAAUCGAUUCGUUUUAGUUGUGAACACAUGGGUGACGGUGGAUAAGAGAUGUAAGCCGGUAAAUGGGGUGAGGAUGCUGAAUUUUCUUAGGGCUAGGCAACCGACAUCUGGGAAUGAAGUGCAGGAACUUCGGGGGUUGUCCGAUAUUCUGAGUGGGUUUGCAUGGGGUUCGGAAGAUUCUCAUGAGUGUUUUAUGGUGCAUAGCUUUCGAAGCAUGAUUCAAAGUGCAACCUUUCAAAAUUUUGUGACCGGGUUUGAGUGGAAUAAAUGCACGCCUCUGAAGGUAAACUCUUUUUUUCUUGGAGACUUUGUCUUGACCACCUUCCCACUUUGGUAAAUUUGGCCAAAAGAAAUGUGCAGCUUCAUUCCACCAGAUGCAAGUUUUGUGGAGAUAUAGAUGAGACCGCUAAACAUUUAUUCAUCUCCUGCAAUAUGGCGCAAGGGAAUUGGGAUUUUAUAGCGAGUUGGUGUAGGCUUCAUGCACUCUAUCCUUGGGGUACAAGAUUUAAUCAAUAUGCAUAAGCAUUUUAGGGGGUCAAAGAGAUGGAAGGCUGCUGUGUAUAUGGUUGUACAGAUGACAGUUUAGUGCAUAUGGCGAAGUCGGAACAACAUGGUUUUUAUUCGGAAGCCUUCGAGCAUAAAUGAGGAGAUGAAGUUCCUUAGUUACCUCUGGUGCAAAAGUAAGUCUAAAUUUUUAAGUCUUACUUGGGAAAAAUUGGUGUAGUUUCAAUCUAUUAUGUAUGGGAGUGUAAAAUAACUUGGCUGUA